rnacentral:rRNA from 1 species
AACUAACAAGGAUUCCCCUAGUAACUGCGAGUGAAAAGGGAAAAGCCCAGCGCCGAAGCCGCCGCCCAGCAAAAGGGGCGGAGGGCAAUGUGGCGUUAAGGAAGAGCCUCUUUGACCAGACGUUUCGUUGAUCGGACCGCGGAAGCCCGAGUCCCCCUGACCGGGGCCAUCGCCCAAGGCGGGUGCAAGGCCUCUUCGGCUUCGUUCGACGGUUCGGAGGUUGCUGGCUCCUUUCCUCAGAGUCGGGUUGCUUGAAAGUGCAGCUCUAAGUGGGUGGUAAACUCCAUCUAAGGCUAAAUAUUACCAUGAGACCGAUAGCGAACAAGUACCGUGAGGGAAAGUUGCAAAGAACUUUGAAGAGAGAGUUCAAGAGUACGUGAAACCGCUCGGAGGCAAACGGGUGGGACCUCGAAGGUCGAACGGGGGGAUUCAGCCUGUCGGCUUCCAGCCUCCAUCCGCUCAGUCGAAAAGGGCGCUCCGGCGCCCGAAACGGAUCCUCUCGGGGACCGGGCUGCGGAUGCGGGGCGGCCGGCUCGUGCACUUCCCCCUCAGUAGGACGCCGCGACCGGUCGGGUCAAUACAAAGUUUGCGGCCAUGAGGCGAGAGGAUCGGGGAAGGUGUCCGUUUCCGUCAGGUCCCUCGUCCCUUCGCGGGGCGGCCCCUUCGCGGGGGUUCGUCUCGUGACGGGGGCGGGGAGGCCGCGGUCGGAGUUACAGCCCCAUCUCGGCCCGUGCACCGCCACCCGACCGACAAAUGGUCACGAAUCCGUUGACGCGUGCCCGCGUAAUUUCGGUAACAAAACGAAAAUGCGCUCGCCCUAGUCCUGAGCAGGCCGGAUGCGCGAGUACAAAGUUCCCGUCCACCCGGAAACGGGGAGGGAAUCCGCCGGGCGCCGGUACAAAAAACCGCAAAGGCGACCGGCGGCUCCGCGUCUGCCGCUGGCUCACGAGGAAUCUAGCAUUCUGGCGUGAGGCAAUGAAAAUGAAACGCUCGCGGUCGGCGGCGAGUAG